GAACGAAUAUGAAUAGAAGAGAAAAAGAAGUUAAAUAGAGAUUUAAUAAUUUUUCAUGAAAUAUAUAAAAAUACCCGUAUAAAGAAACGUAACUUUAUUCAUAUUCGUUAAAAUUCCAUAUAUUUGCAUAUCUAGACCGAGCACAUUUUUACAGACACGAAUUAAAUACUUUCUUUAAUUCCAAAGUACAAUAUCUUUAUAACAAAUCUUAGUUCCUUAGAAUCGAUCUCCCAUACACGAAAAGAAAUCGUGCAUAAUUCAUUCCUUCAACUUUUCGAACAAAGAUAUGCCCGAUACACGCGCAAUCGUUCCGCGAUUCAACUUUAACGAUUUAAAACGCAUCAUAUUCGCAUUAAAUCAUCGACGAGGCUGAACCAGAUGGAGAGAGGGAGAGGAGGAAAAAACGUGGAAAUCUAAAUCGAGCGAUUUUAACGGGGGCGGAAAUUAAAGCGGAGAUUCGCGAAACGCGGCGAACGUAUUCAUCCUGGAUCGUCCGAUCCCGCCGCGAUUUUAUUUUAAUUCGAACUUUUAGCACAAUCGCGUUCGGCAAUGCAAUUUUAAUGGCUCUCUGCUUGAAACUUGGCUAACAGUUUUCCCAUUGUUAUCGCAUAGAAACUACAAAACCUCGCAUGGAGCAAGUUGGCGGGGGUUGAAUUUUUAAAUAAUAAUGCGCCCCCGAAUAGAAUUUUUUGAGGAACAUGCUGAGAGGGAAGGAGAAGGGAGAAAGGAGGGGGGAUCGAUCAAACAUUGAUAUAUAAUCAUAAUAUAUUAUAACAAAUUCCGUGUAUUUUCUCUCGAUACAUUCCAAGUGAUAACAAAUAUUAAAAUUCAAUUGGAGAAAUUAAGAAAAUUUUUUACUGAAACACAUUUUGUGAAAUACAUCAUAUUAUCCAAUAUGAAGAAUGCUCGAAUAUAAUAUAAUAUAAUUAUUAUUUUCUUCAAAUUGAACAUUCUCGUAAUAUAUUACUAUAUAUAAUCUAAAAUAAAAAUUCCACGGAUAAAUGUAUACAAACUUUCAUCCGAAGAAUUCAUUUCUGAAACGGAAAUGGCGAAGAACAACAAGCAAAUCGACGACAUAUACCAUUUCAUUCCCUAUCUAUCGAUUUAUCUAACGACGACGACUUACAAUCCCCGAUUUUAAUGCGAGCAACCCGGCUGCAUCUUUCGCGGGACAAUCGUGGAACGAUCGUGGCGCAUGAGAAAUGUUCCACGGAGCAAAGAAACGGCGGAAGUCUCCCCGCCGGUUAAUGCUCUUUGUCCUUCCAACAAAGGGGGCGUCCUUUGUGCCUGAACGCGUACCGCCACUUUUUGAACGAUGUUUUCCCGUGAAUUUUCGCCCCUUUCAUCCGUGAAAUAAUGCGGCAAAUAAUUCAUUGGGAACACGAGAACCAAGAAAGGGAAAAUACCUCGUGACGGAAGUUAACGGAAGCGGUGAAGUUGAAGGGAACUUGGGAGGAGGAGGAGGAGGAGGUGCAGGGUUUGUCGGUUGGAGCGUUACGGUUGCCAUGUUGGAGAGCGGUUAGGAAGGGAGGGAGGAGACCAAAUUCGAGAGCAAAUAUCCGAAAUUGAAGCAAUCGAAGCGUGUAAAAUGGUCGGUCAAUGAGAAAGUUCUGGUACAAGGGGAAGUUGCCGGGUUUUGUACGCGAGAACGGUGAUAAUGUUAUUACGUUUUCCGCCGUAGUUUCCGCCAAGAGUGGUAAAAGUGGUUGAUCUGAAAACGGAACGAGAUAUAUUUCCAUUGACAGUUCCUUCCGGGGAUUGUGGAGGGAGAGAAUCGAGAUCGAUCGAUGGACGGAUCGAUUCUCCAACAACUGGCGAAGCUAUUGAGAUUAAGGUUAUUAUUGGCUCAACUUUCUAUAAAUCUUUGAAUAUAGAGGGAACUGGAAUUUGUAUAAUUUUUUUUCAUAGGCAUUUGAAACUCUUAUCCAUCAAUUCGAUCUACCAGUCGAGCAUGGCCAUUGCUCAACCGAUUUUGACGUGUUACAAAGUCAAUCCUUUCGGUGAGUGAAAUUGAACUCAUAUCUAUUUACUUCGACAGUGUUCGAUACCAACUGGUUCAUCUUGUAUAAAGUAUAUGUAUACAUCAUCUGUCAAAUUGAAGAUCAAUGGAUACGUCAUUGAUCAAAAAAAAAAAAACUUGAGACA